rnacentral:piRNA from 1 species
UUACGCUUGAACCUUAAUUUU